GUUCUGACUGAUUUUGACUACGUUUACACGUCACCCCUAAUAUCAUCCUAUAUCAUAUAAAUAAGAUAGUGGAAUCAGCAUUUCUUUUUAAUAGAGAGGAGCUCGAAAAUUAUGAUGAAAUUUAUUUUACUUUGAAAAUAUUUACUAUUUAUUUCAUUUAAUAUGUAAGUAUAAUUCGUUAUCUCAUUUAGGUUGUACUGAAAAUUUAUUAAAAGUUUUUUAUUUUUUCACUCAACUUUUUUUCUCAUCUCUUUUUAUAAAGAUAUACGUAUAUAAUUUUAUAUAUAAAUAUAUAAUUAUUAAAUAUAUAUUUUCUAUGUAGUUUUCAAAUCAAUAUAAUAUUUAAAACAGUUAUUGUAUUCUCAUAUUGCUUUUGCCAACAAUUCUUCUUGAUGAUAGCUAUGAAGAUGUAAUAAUUAAUAGUAUUAUUGAAACUAAAAGUAUACUUGCAUGAAUAAGAGAGAGAGAAAGAGAGAGCUAAUGUUUUAGAUAAUGAGAAGACAAGGCAAUACUAUAAUGAACUAAAAUCAUUUAUUUGAAUUUGUCAUUAGACAACUCGAUAGAAAACCUUAAUAGAAUGUCGCACAUGACUAAUAGCACGAUAAUAUGAUUUAUAUAUAAACACAGCAUGUAUAUUAAAAAAAUUGUUUCUUUUGCUAUAACUCUUGUGUCUCUUCAAUGAUGAGAUUAACAUAUUGUUUUAUAUGAUUGCUAAAUUAUAUUUUAGAACACAUAAAAAAAAAGAAUGGAACCUAAUUAAGUGCUAAAUAUGUUGUGAUCAUUUUAAUUUACAAGUAUCCAUUGUUAUAUGGCUCAUAUAAUAAUAAUAAUAAUAAUAAUAAUAAUAUUACUUUACAACUUUGCUCAUUGAUCAUUAGAUAAAAACACGCAUUUACACAUCAUCUUUAAAGCCUGCUGCGACGAUACUAUUUUAUGCAAAUUAUUCACAAAAUAUUUAAAAAUCCGAUUGUGUUCGUUUAUACCAAGUAUAAUUAAAUAUUACGCUCUAAAGCGCGCGCGCGCGCGCGUUCUACGCUGAUUUAACAUACAUACGACAGUCAUUGUACGAUUCAUUGCAACAAGGAUUGUAUCUUAUAUCAGUUAAAUUAUCAAGAGUGUCUUAUAUACACUGCACUUUACAUUAUAUCAAAGAUUUCCUAUCUGCGCGUUCACACCCAAUAAAAUACACUAAUUUAUUAAAUUCAUUGAAAUCUUAUUAUAUAUAUCUAUAAUGAUCAAAUAAAUGCAUUAGUCAUCUAACAAGUUAAGUAUAGAUCACUGUUUUAUAUAAUAUAUAUAUAUAUAUUUUUUACACAUGGUUUUGUGAAUUGUUCAAAUUGUUAGAUAUAUGAUGUAUUUGCCUUCAUCUAGUAGAUGUAACUUUUUCACCCGCGCGUAUCUAUUUGCCCGCCCCCUCCUCCCCCAGUAUUUGUAAAUAUAUUCCAUCUAUUAUUUAUUACCUUUCAGAAAUAGAAAUUAUUUUAUUGGCAUCAUAGCUGAACAAUGAUACAUCUUUAAUUAUACAAGAGUUAUCAUUUUGCUGAAUAAAAAAUAUGGAACAG